rnacentral:rRNA from 1 species
UACGUCGGGUGCGAGCGUUAAUCGGCAUUACUGGGCGUAAAGCGUGCGCAGGCGGUUUUUUCAGCCCGAUGUGAAAUCCCCGGGCUUAACCUGGGAACUGCAUUUGGAACUGGAAGACUAGAGUACGGCCGAGGGGGGUAGAAUUCCACGUGUAGCAGUGAAAUGCGUAGAUAUGUGGAGGAAUACCGAUGGCGAAGGCAGCCCCCUGGGUCGAUACUGACGCUCAUGCACGAAAGCGUGGGGAGCAAACAGG